GGAGCACCCUUUGGGUGUGACUGCGUACCUUUUGUAUAAUGGGUCAGCGACUUAUAUUCUGUAGCAAGGUUAACCGAAUAGGGGAGCCGGAGGGAAACCGAGUCUUAACCGGGCGUUAAGUUGCAGGGUAUAGACCCGAAACCCGGUGAUCUAGCCAUGGGCAGGUUGAAGGUUGGGUAACACUAACUGGAGGACCGAACCGACUAAUGUUGAAAAAUUAGCGGAUGACCUGUGGCUGGGGGUGAAAGGCCAAUCAAACCGGGAGAUAGCUGGUUCUCCCCGAAAGCUAUUUAGGUAGCGCCUCGUGAAUUCAUCUCCGGGGGUAGAGCACUGUUUCGGCUAGGGGGCCAUCCCGGCUUACCAACCCGAUGCAAACUGCGAAUACCGGAGAAUGUUAUCACGGGAGACACACGGCGGGUGCUAACGUCCGUCGUGAAGAGGGAAACAACCCAGACCGCCAGCUAAGGUCCCAAAGUCAUGGUUAAGUGGGAAACGAUGUGGGAAGGCCCAGACAGCCAGGAUGUUGGCUUAGAAGCAGCCAUCAUUUAAAGAAAGCGUAAUAGCUCACUGGUCGAGUCGGCCUGCGCGGAAGAUGUAACGGGGCUAAACCAUGCACCGAAGCUGCGGCAGCGACACUGUGUGUUGUUGGGUAGGGGAGCGUUCUGUAAGCCUGUGAAGGUGUGUCGUGAGGCAUGCUGGAGGUAUCAGAAGUGCGAAUGCUGACAUAAGUAACGAUAAAGCGGGUGAAAAGCCCGCUCGCCGGAAGACCAAGGGUUCCUGUCCAACGUUAAUCGGGGCAGGGUGAGUCGACCCCUAAGGCGAGGCCGAAAGGCGUAGUCGAUGGGAAACGGGUUAAUAUUCCCGUACUUGGUGUUACUGCGAAGGGGGGACGGAGAAGGCUAUGUUGGCCGGG
rnacentral:rRNA from 1 species